AUUUGGAGACCCACCGGGCUCCAGUGACAAAGUUGAAUAAUUAUAUUAGGCUCUGAAAAAUAUUGUAAAAUGUCUGCUAGCACGCCGAAAUUGUUUUACAAAUUGCGAUACCCAACUAUGAUGUGCAGUUUCCUCGUUGGAGCCUACACGGCUUUUACGUUUCGGCACACUUUAAUGGGAGAUUUGGAACCGAAACGUGAGAUUUUGUUCGCAGAAGACAAAGAAAGUCGAGCUCUCGGAGAGCAGGCAAUAAGAGAUCAUGCGCAACAAUCCUGAGCGCCCACAAGUACAAGUUUUUCAUCUUUGCUGUUCAAACUACUCAUCAUUUGUAAAUACGGGGUACUUAUGUGCUGAUACAGUACUGUUUGUAUAUCCAGGAUAUUGCAGAUGCCAGCAGCAAUUGUCAUUGCCAUACACGUUAUAUUUUUCUUGAUCCACUUAGGUAGACUUAGGUAGAUACAAUACUAUACUGCAUUUAUGUAUGUACAUACAGUUAUUCUAAAGUAUGUCAGGAAAUGUUUUAUUUAAUAUAGGUAUAUAAGAAAAGGGUGAAACUAAUGAUUUACCCUACAUGUGUACAGUAUUCGAGUUGUAUAAAACUGUAAUACCUUCUAUAAGUUGAUAAUAAUGCGAGCAAUCACGUAA